GAGUUUGAUCCUGGCUCAGGACGAACGCUGGCGGCGUGCCUAAUACAUGCAAGUCGAACGAACUCUGGUAUUGAUUGGUGCUUGCAUCAUGAUUUACAUUUGAGUGAGUGGCGAACUGGUGAGUAACACGUGGGAAACCUGCCCAGAAGCGGGGGAUAACACCUGGAAACAGAUGCUAAUACCGCAUAACAACUUGGACCGCAUGGUCCGAGUUUGAAAGAUGGCUUCGGCUAUCACUUUUGGAUGGUCCCGCGGCGUAUUAGCUAGAUGGUGAGGUAACGGCUCACCAUGGCAAUGAUACGUAGCCGACCUGAGAGGGUAAUCGGCCACAUUGGGACUGAGACACGGCCCAAACUCCUACGGGAGGCAGCAGUAGGGAAUCUUCCACAAUGGACGAAAGUCUGAUGGAGCAACGCCGCGUGAGUGAAGAAGGGUUUCGGCUCGUAAAACUCUGUUGUUAAAGAAGAACAUAUCUGAGAGUAACUGUUCAGGUAUUGACGGUAUUUAACCAGAAAGCCACGGCUAACUACGUGCCAGCAGCCGCGGUAAUACGUAGGUGGCAAGCGUUGUCCGGAUUUAUUGGGCGUAAAGCGAGCGCAGGCGGUUUUUUAAGUCUGAUGUGAAAGCCUUCGGCUCAACCGAAGAAGUGCAUCGGGAACUGGGAAACUUGAGUGCAGAAGAGGACAGUGGAACUCCAUGUGUAGCGGUGAAAUGCGUAGAUAUAUGGAAGAACACCAGUGGCGAAGGCGGCUGUCUGGUCUGUAACUGACGCUGAGGCUCGAAAAGUAUGGGUAGCAAACAGGAUUAGAUACCCUGGUAGUCCAUACCGUAAACGAUGAAUGCUAAGUGUUGGAGGGUUUCCGCCCUUCAGUGCUGCAGCUAACGCAUUAAGCAUUCCGCCUGGGGAGUACGGCCGCAAGGCUGAAACUCUAAGGAAUUGACGGGGGCCCGCACAAGCGGUGGAGCAUGUGGUUUAAUUCGAAGCUACGCGAAGAACCUUACCAGGUCUUGACAUACUAUGCAAAUCUAAGAGAUUAGACGUUCCCUUCGGGGACAUGGAUACAGGUGGUGCAUGGUUGUCGUCAGCUCGUGUCGUGAGAUGUUGGGUUAAGUCCCGCAACGAGCGCAACCCUUAUUAUCAGUUGCCAGCAUUAAGUUGGGCACUCUGGUGAGACUGCCGGUGACAAACCGGAGGAAGGUGGGGAUGACGUCAAAUCAUCAUGCCCCUUAUGACCUGGGCUACACACGUGCUACAAUGGAUGGUACAACGAGUUGCGAACUCGCGAGAGUAAGCUAAUCUCUUAAAGCCAUUCUCAGUUCGGAUUGUAGGCUGCAACUCGCCUACAUGAAGUCGGAAUCGCUAGUAAUCGCGGAUCAGCAUGCCGCGGUGAAUACGUUCCCGGGCCUUGUACACACCGCCCGUCACACCAUGAGAGUUUGUAACACCCAAAGUCGGUGGGGUAACCUUUUAGGAACCAGCCGCCUAAGGUGGGACAGAUGAUUAGGGUGAAGUCGUAACAAGGUAACC
rnacentral:rRNA from 2 species